UGAGUAGGACAAAUGGUCGCGGCUGCAAUACCGAGAGGCUGCAGGUGAGGAAAGUCCGGGCUUCACAGGGCAGGAUGCCGGAUAACGUCCGGUGGAGGUGACUCCAAGGAAAGUGCAACAGAAAUAAACCGCAGUACUUGUACUGUAAGGGUGGAAAGGCAGUGUAAGAGACUACCGCCCGACUGGUAACAGGCGGGGCACAUGUAAACCCCAUCCGAAGCAAGACCAAACAGAGAGCAUAAGGCGGCCCGUCUGCUUUCGGGUAGGUUGCUUGAGCCUGCUGGUAACGGCAGGACUAGAUAGAUGACCAUUCAACGACAUAACCCGGCUUAUCGUCCUGCUCAGAUU
rnacentral:RNase_P_RNA from 1 species